rnacentral:lncRNA from 1 species
CUCUUUUCACAUUUCACUUAUUUAAAUUAAGUUAAAUUCCCAACCUUUAUUUAAUUAUUUAAUAUUUCCCUUAAAAGAAAUAUUACUAAUAUUCGGAUAUCACAAGAUGGACAGCCAUUUGCUCACUGAAGAGCUAGACUCCCGACUACCCUGUCGUAGUGAUAAUUCGUCGAACCCGCAGAAGUAUGAGUCAAUUAAUCCCUACAAGGUUCUUCUCUUGUGUUGAGGGAGUUUUUAGGAUCUAUGGUUUAUAUCUUGUUGAAGGCUUUAUGAGGGUGCAAAUUUUUGAGGCUUUGAGAGGGUUUCGAGGCCUCAAGUUCCGGGCCUUUGGGACAAACUCCUCCUCCUGUUCACCCCCUUCAACUGAGUUGCACUCGGUUUGCAGCGGUGCCUGAUCAUAAGACACAUUUUUCCUUUGCGUUCUCCAUCAAUUUGAUGUAAUGUUUCGCUCUUAGUAUUGGAGGUCCUCUCAGGUCUGAUACAUUUGGAUCCAUCUACAAACAAAUAAGAGUCUACAUUAAUAUCCAGGCAAUUAUUAUAAUAUCCAUUUAGAUGAGCUACAAAC